AGUGAACGCUGGCGGCAUGCCUUACACAUGCAAGUCGAACGGCAGCGGGCCUUCGGGUGCCGGCGAGUGGCGAACGGGUGAGUAAUGCAUCGGAACGUGCCAUUGAGUGGGGGAUAACGUAGCGAAAGUUACGCUAAUACCGCAUAUUCUGUGAGCAGGAAAGCAGGGGACCGCAAGGCCUUGCGCUCUUUGAGCGGCCGAUGUCAGAUUAGCUAGUUGGUGAGGUAAAGGCUUACCAAGGCGACGAUCUGUAGCGGGUCUGAGAGGAUGAUCCGCCACACUGGAACUGAGACACGGUCCAGACUCCUACGGGAGGCAGCAGUGGGGAAUUUUGGACAAUGGGCGCAAGCCUGAUCCAGCCAUGCCGCGUGAGUGAAGAAGGCCU
rnacentral:rRNA from 1 species